GUGAGGAAUAUUGCGCAAUGGAGGCAACUCUGACGCAGCCAUGCCGCGUGCAGGAAGAAGGCGCUACGCGUUGUAAACUGCUUUUAACCGGGAAGAAACCCCAGGACGUGUCCUGGGUUGACGGUACCGGAGGAAUAAGCACCGGCUAACUUCGUGCCAGCAGCCGCGGUAAUACGAAGGGUGCAAGCGUUAUCCGGAUUCAUUGGGUUUAAAGGGUGCGUAGGGGGAGCGUUAAGUCAGUGGUGAAAUCCUGCAGCUUAACUGUAGACUUGCCAUUGAUACUGGCGCUCUUGAGUGCGCUUGAAGUGGGCGGAAUGUGCCGUGUAGCGGUGAAAUGCUUAGAUAUGGCACAGAACACCAAUUGCGAAGGCAGCUCACUAAGGCGAUACUGACGCUGAGGCACGAAAGCGUGGGGAUCGAACAGGAUUAGAUACCCGGGUAGUCC
rnacentral:rRNA from 1 species